rnacentral:lncRNA from 1 species
UUUUCAUUAAAGCCAAAAGGCUGCUUUAAGAUUUGCUGUGGCUUUCUCCUUUUAAGACAAGUACGCAUUUCUGAAGAAAAUAUGCCUUUACAAAACUCAACGCCAGCUUACCAAGCUGUGUGUAUCUUAAUAAGUGGCAUCGUUUUGAAGACGUGCUUUGAAGAGUCUAGAUAUUAAGACGCAAGAUUUAAAGAAUCCACAGAACUUAUUUUCAGAGCACAUUUACAUGUCUUUUAAACCGAUUUUUUUUAUUAUGACGUGUCCAAGACAUUUAGCACCAUUUAAGAGGAGCAGCGCUGAAACACAGAAUUGAAAUUGCUUGAUAACACAUCUGCAUUUUAAACUUUAAGCUCGCUUUCAAAUACACUGUACCAUCCGUGUUUACUAUAAAUACAGAGAGGUACGGUGAAGAAAUUGGGGAAACGCAUGUACAAUGGAAAUGAAAAAUGAACAAAAUGCAUGAGGGGGUUUCUUGAGUUGGAGGAGAGCAAUAUUGGAAGAAUGUUGGAAGACAAGGCAAUUCUGGGCAGAGUGCAUGGUCUAUGGAAGAGCAGGUGUCACAGCUCUUUCCAGAAGAACCUCAGGCAUCACUGGUGAGGAUGGGCUGGAGUAGAACUCAUUCAGUCCACCGCAGGUAACGAAGGAACCUUCACCAACCUGCAACCCUGUUCACAUAACUGCAGGCACCCUGGGCACCACUGGCCAGGCCGCCACUUCCUAAAGCCCAAGUAAAUGUAUUUCCUGUACCAUGAAAGCCCUAGAGAGGGAGGAGAAGAUUAAAUAUAGCUUGUUUUUCAUUUGCCGUUUUAUUUGAAAUUGUCAAUUUUAUAUUACUGCUAAGCCAUGAAAGUGUUUUCGAUUGUGUGUUUUUUAAAAAGCCAUGUUAUAUCUGCAAAAUAUUUUUCAUACAAAUCCUUAUUACUUUCAACCAAUGAUGACCCGUUUGGUUAAUAGCAAUUAGAUAUAG